rnacentral:precursor_RNA from 15 species
UGGGCCGUCUCGGAGCCUGAGGCGGAGGGCGGGGAGGCAGUAGGGGCUCAGGGGGAGUGUGUGCAGCCCUGGCCCUCUCUGCCCUUCCGCCCCCCGGCCCCGCCCCGCGCUACCGCUACCC